ensembl:lncRNA
GAAGGAAGGGGGCUCCGUUUUGAAUCAGCGGCAAUGUGGGGGGGACAUAUUCCAAUACAUAAGACCUCCAGGAAGGUUCAACUACAUUAGGUUUUUCAGUAGGAAGUAAAUAACCAAAGAGGAAAAAAACAAAAUAAAAACAACACCUCAUCCAAUAAAUUCCUCACAAAUGAGCAUAGCUGAGUUAUGACCGCAUGAGGACUAAUGCGUGAUUAGACCACAUCAGAUCGAACCUUCCGAUCUGAUGUGUUCCACGUGCAUUAAGAAGACAAACCAAAAUCCUACCCCAUCGUCCCUUUUGAAAAUGUUCAAACAGGAAGUUCAAAUGUUUACAGAGGAAUUGACCAUUCAUUUAAAUGUCUGAUAUGAAUUAAUUUACUGUGUGUUAAAACUGGAUUCAAUAUAUGAAAUAAUAGUAUGUAUUUUCUGGUAGAAAUAUAAAUAAAUCAGGACUUUAACCUAAAAUGGUGCAGAUGUAUACCAGGUCCUUUCUAAAAGUUUAAAUAACACCAAUCAACCCCCACAACACGCAACGUAUUUAACCACCUCAUCUCAACACUGCACAUUGAGGUCAAGAAACAACUCUUCUUUCUUUUUGCUGCUUCAUAGACAGCCACCAAAUUAUAAUGUCACCCAUGUAAGAUCAGCGGUGGCGGCGGCGCUCACACUUUGAAUGGCCUCUGUGAGCUUCUGUCACAACUGUCAAGCCUCGUGGUGUUAUUGAGUAUUUUCUGUGGUGCAUCGUGUACGUGUUGGUCUUCUAAAUCAUUUCUUACAACUCCAUUGUUGUUUUUUCUCUCAUAGGCCACAAUGUAACCCCGUGUUAUAGACAUUUACCCUCAAUCUCCGAUCUCUUUAGUCACAGUAACUGGCCACAGUGAAACCACCAGGACUAAUACGUCAGCUUUCUUACCAAAGCUCGAAUAAAACUGAGAGAGAAGUGAUAAAUUACUAAAAAGAAGUAAAGAAAAAACAAUUCAUUCUCUAAAUGCAGGGCUGUAAGAAGGCAAAUACAUUUAUUAUUUUCAUUAAGAAAAAGGGCAUUGGCUAUAAGGCUGUUUGUUUUUCUGUAAAUAUAGAAAGCUUUGAUAAUGUAUACUUUUGAUUAAAACAGCUAAAUUGAAAAAUGAAGCACCAAAUGAACAUUUAAACUUCACAUUAGAUUUGAACUGCAAAACAAAUAAAGCUUUAGGAAGCUAAUAAAGUGUCUCAGCAUGAAAUCAUUUACCCGUAUCUCCCUGAACCACUCAGAAAACAUAA